rnacentral:rRNA from 1 species
AGUCUGCAACUCGACUGCAUGAAGCUGGAAUCGCUAGUAAUCGCAGAUCAGAAUGCUGCGGUGAAUACGUUCCCGGGUCUUGUACACACCGCCCGUCACACCAUGGGAGUCGGAAAUGCCCGAAGCCGGUGACCCAACCAAAAGGAGGGAGCCGUCGAAGGCAGGUCUGAUAACUGGGGUGAAGUCGUAACAAGGUACC